GACGAACGCUGGCGGCGUGCCUAAUACAUGCAAGUAGAACGCACAGUUUAUACCGUAGCUUGCUACACCAUAGACUGUGAGUUGCGAACGGGCGAGUAACGCGUAGGUAACCUGCCUGGUAGCGGGGGAUAACUAUUGGAAACGAUAGCUAAUACCGCAUAAUAUUGAUUAUUGCAUGAUAAUUGAUUGAAAGAUGCUAUUGCAUCACUACCAGAUGGACCUGCGUUGUAUUAGCUAGUAGGUGAGGUAACGGCUCACCUAGGCGACGAUACAUAGCCGACCGGAGAGGGUGAUCGGCCACACUGGGACUGAGACACGGCCCAGACUCCUACGGGAGGAAGCAGUAGGGAAUCUUCGGCAAUGGACGAAAGUCUGACCGAGCAACGCCGCGUGAGUGAAGAAGGUUUUCGGAUCGUAAAGCUCUGUUGUAAGAGAAGAACGGGUGUGAGAGUGGAAAGUUCACACUGUGACGGUAUCUUACCAGAAAGGGACGGCUAACUACGUG
rnacentral:rRNA from 1 species